rnacentral:rRNA from 1 species
UACGUAGGUGACAAGCGUUUGUCCGGAUUUACUGGGCGUAAAGAGCGCGCAGGCGGUCGUUCAAGUCGAGUGUGAAAGCCCCCGGCUCAACUGGGGAGGGUCAUUCGAUACUGAUCGACUCGAAGGCAGGAGAGGGAAGUGGAAUUCCCGGUGUAGUGGUGAAAUGCGUAGAUAUCGGGAGGAACACCAGUGGCGAAGGCGGCUUCCUGGCCUGUUCUUGACGCUGGAGGCGCGAAAAGCUAGGG